AUACGGAGGGUGCAAGCGUUAUUCGGAAUCACUGGGCGUAAAGGGUGCGUAGUCGGUUUGGUAAGUCUGAUGGUAAAUCCUAUGGCUCAACCAUAGAACUGCAUUGGAAACUGCUAGACUAGAAUACUGAAGGGGCAGAUGGAAUUAGUGGUGUAGGGGUAAAAUCCGUAGAUAUCACUAGGAAUACCGAAAGCGAAAGCGAUCUGCUGGGAAGUUAUUGACGCUGAGGCACGAAAGCGUGGGGAGCAAACGGGAUUAGAUACCCUAGUAGUCC
rnacentral:rRNA from 1 species